AAUUUAGAAACAAGUCGUUUAUUUUCUUAUUACUAGCGCUGGUAAAAUGGCACAAGCUUCAUUUUCACUUCUGCAUAUUGCAGAUGUGUGGCCAGAGCAAUGCUGCCUGAAUCUCCUCCAUGAAACGGGCUUUUAAGGUUUUGCGAGGAUGCAAUGUGUCAUUUUCUGACACGCCGAUUCAAACAGGUCCCGAUGAGGAGGAAAUGUGUGUUGCUUUGAGUCAGCACGAAUAUAAAACACACACGCGUCACUUUCUAUUAAUAUUACCGCACGCGGGAGCUGCCGUGGAAUCUUUUCCGACGAGUUUUACAUUGUUUGGUGCAGGGAAGUGAACUUUCGAGAGGAAAUCCUGCGCCCGAAUGCAGAAACACUCCCUCGGGUCACGGUCCUGCACGCGCGGAGCCCCCGAAUCCCCUGUGAAAGCGCUGCCGCAUCCCGCAGUCAGCGCGAGCGUUCGCACGCCGCCGACGCGUCGUAAGCGGCGGAUCACAUGGAUCCAGUCCUGUAGGUGCGGCUUGCGACGCGCAUCUCCAGCCCAUAUUUGACGGGGCAGAGCACGGAAAGCACCGGAGCACUUCUGGAGCAACGAUUUGCACCGUGUGACUUUUCGUGAUUUAAAACGCUUUUGAGCAAGUUUUUCCCCCCCAAGGAUGGAUCGCGCAUAGACGAAGCGUUAAAAAAAAUCAAACUGAAACUCUACUGGGUCGCUGGACGCUCUGAUGCGGCGCAGCUGCUACAUCUCCAAUCUAAACCCGCUGGACAGGAACCCGGAGCUGGUUACACACAUCCAAAUAUGCGCGUAAUUGGAGCGCGCUGGCGAGGCGUCCCCUGCACCCCCGGCGGGAUAACGUUGUCGUGAUGUUCAAUACUUCAGGAAAUGAGCUCACUUUUAACAAGAAGGAGGAUAUUUCCGAAGUCAUCAAUGGCACUCUGCAGCUUCUCCAUACCGUCCUCGCCACCGUCGCUCCCACAACAAUGUGGAACGAGUCGUGCGGGGAGCAGCUCCUGGAUUUCGGGCGUCCGGAGAAGAUCGUCAUCGGCGUGAUGCUGGCGAUCAUCACGGCGGUCACCGUGAUGGGGAACACGCUGGUGGUGAUCGCCGUGUGCGUGGUGAAGAAACUCAGGCAGCCGUCGAACUACCUGCUGGUGUCCCUCGCCGUGGCGGACCUGUCGGUGGCCAUAGUUGUGAUGCCGUUCGUGAUAGUGACCGACCUCACCGGGGGCAAGUGGCUGUUCGGGGAGGUGUUCUGCAACAUCUUCAUCGGCAUGGAUGUAAUGUGCUGCACUGCCUCCAUCAUGACCCUGUGUGUGAUCAGCGUCGACAGGUACCUGGGGAUCACGCGGCCCCUCACCUACCCGGCCCGGCAGAACGGCCAGCUGAUGGCGAAGAUGAUCCUGGGCGUGUGGCUGGUGUCGGCCUCCAUCACCCUGCCCCCUUUCUGCGGCUGGGCCAAGAACGUGCACACGGCGGGCGUGUGCCUCAUCAGCCAAGACUUCGGCUACACCAUCUACUCCACAGCCGUGGCCUUCUACAUCCCCAUGCUGGUCAUGCUGGUCAUGUACUACAAGAUCUUCAGGGCGGCCCGCAAGAGCGGCGCCAAGCACCGCUUCACCGACCUGUCGCGGCGCGAGCGCCUGGAGACGGUGGCCAACGAGGCGCUGCGCAUGCAGGGCCUGAAGCCGCCGGGCGUGGCCGAGGACUGCGCCGCGCUGUCGCGCCUGCUGAGCCGCGAGCGCCGCAACAUCUCCAUCUUCAAGCGGGAGCAGAAGGCGGCCACCACGCUGGGCGUGAUCGUGGGCGUGUUCGCCGUGUGCUGGCUGCCGUUCUUCAUCCUCUCCACCGCGCGGCCGUUCAUCUGCGGCGUGGAGUGCAGCUGCGUUCCCAUUUGGCUGGAGCGCACGCUGCUGUGGCUGGGCUACGCCAACUCCCUCAUGAACCCCUUCAUCUACGCCUUCUUCAACCGGGACCUGCGCUCCACCUACCGCGACCUCCUCCGCUGCCGCUACCGCAACAUCAACCGCCGGCUGUCCGCCGUGGGCGUGCACGAGGCCCUCAAGGUGUGAGGGGGACCUGGAGUAUCGCGUACACUCGGUGCUCGACUGCCCGUGUUCACCCAGCAGGCCUGCAGACAGGGCACGGACGGGCAGAGCCGCAGUCACUGUCUGGCCCUUAUGCAAAAGCAGAGAGACAGCGAGAUUACUGCGGCGCUCUAUUUUAGGAAAGAAAAGCGCGGCGCGUACGUAAUCUGUGGGCCAUUCAAGCCGGCGCCACUUUUGUGCAUAUGCCACAUUUCCGUCCCGGCUCUGGAUUUAUGUUGGGACAUAAGUGGCAAAGGAAGCGACGCGCAAGCGCGAUCCAUCAUCGCGGGGCUUUUGCGAGAAACAGAAAGCGAGCGGACGCUUGUAUAAUAACGAAAUCAGCGUUUGAUGGGAAAAACACAGUGUGUUCGCGUCUCCACGUCAAGCGUUGCGUUCGCGCAGCAGGUCACGCAGGAGGCGCUGCUAAGUGUUAUUCUAAAAGUAUUUGAAUCAGCUCAUCUGCAGCCACGGCCUCCGGUUUGCUUCAACGAGAGCGCCUUAAAUGGUAAAAGCGGUGCCAGGGAGCAGCGGCCGGUGGAGAGCGGACGGAAGAGACUUUUUACAUUCAGGAGAGCUCGGUCUCCAGCGCCGGGAUCAGCUGUAGGUUUGUUUAGUGUCUGCAUGAAACGCUCCAUGACACAAGUCAUCUAAACUAAAGUAGUGAGUGGUGAGUUUAGCAGAAGUUUUAGCCCAACACUUAAAGUCAGUGUGAAGUAAAUACUGGAUGUGUCAGGAGCCGCGGCGCUGUGGACCGCUCCUCUCUUGGUAUUUUUCGCCUCAUUCGAUUACAUUCCACAACUCGCUGCUGGGUUUAUUGGUUGACGCGGCCAAACACAUAAACUCCACUUUGCUGUGUUCUCUGUUUGUGUUUGAAAGCAGGAUGUGGUCACUUCCCUCCUGCUCCUGGCUCUACGCCCCCCCCCCCCCCCCCCCAACCUCCCGGCGGCGCGUAGGACACGCCAGAUCUUAUCAUUCGAGCAUUGUGCGCUUUUUCUACCUCGAUUUUUUUACUGUACGUUUCCUCUGAACAGGUGUCUGAACCUCUGUCCUGCAUCAUUUUGUAAUUGACAGCUAUUUUACAGUAUAUCGUGUACGAUCUGUGUAAAAUUCUGUGACUUCUCUGCAGCUGAACCACUGGCAAAACGUUUCAUCACUUUGUAAAUAAAGAAACACUUGGUUAAAAUGUCACUGUGGCCUAUAUUGCACACCAGGUGAUAUGCAUUCAGACAAACACACAGUAGCUUUGUGGUCCGAUUCAGACGCCUCCUUUGACUUUCCAGCUCCACCGAAACGCAUCCUUGUCAAAUAUGUGACACGCGCUGGAUGGAGAGGCCUGUCGUCAAGAAUGAGGACGCACCUCAGGCCUGCUCCAAACCUUUGGAACACUUUGAGCAUUUCUUAGAGACAGAGUGUUGCGUUAACCAGGCAGCGAGUCUGCAGCGAUGGGGAAGCGUUCUAGGUGACCCAAAAAAACUUCUGUGUGCUCGGAGGGAAAUAUUUUAUUCAGAGUUCGGGUGACAGCUGUCUGCUCGCUUUCAAGACCGAAACUGUCCUGCAGAGGCCCAAGGAUGAGGCGGACGCUUGUGUGUGACGCAUCGUGGCGUGUGGUCAGGAGGAGUGAAAUUAAAAGGAGCAGUCAGGUGAAAUGUGCUUCGAUCCUGUUACCAUGUCAACGCUGCCAUCAUUAACGCCCAAUAGAACAAAUCACUUAUGAUGUCACGUUUGGUUUUGCUGAUUGCUGGUGAUUGGAUGACGAACUAAGGCUCCGACCUCACCGACAGCUACAUCUUUUAAGGGACGUGCGGCUUCCAAUCAAGCCUAAUCAAACCCAGUCAAAGCCUGCAGGUGUUUCAUUGUAGAACAGACGUGAAUCAUGAAGCAUCUGGGUCUAUAACGAUGCAUUAGGCUGUUUAAUCAACGUCUAAACACGUUGCCUAGUAGCAACUUAAACUUCCAAAAGCUGCUUCACCGUGUCAUCACUCGCAGACGCUCCAGCAGUCGUCUGCUUGUUUGGGUUGGCGGCAGACUUGGCCAGUUGCUACGUUGCACCGUCUUUCGAAUUAUUUGGCCGGACAGUUCCCAGUUACAACAUAAGGAUAAUUACAGCGUUCUAAUUUUACUUUCCGCUCUCCUCGUCCGAGUCCAACUGCUCUGGAACCAUUUAGCGCUGCAGUAAUUCAGAAGUAACAAACUCGCAUCGAAGUCCUGGCGAUAAAAUGUCUUUAAAUAGGACUUCACGGCGGAACGCGUGCGUCUGUGUGCGUGUGUGUGUGUGUGUGUGGGCACGGCGACAUAAAGGAGGCUGGAGCUCCCUGAAGUGAAGCGCGUGGACCUUGCCUCGGCCGGAAUGUCGACAUUUUGUUUCAGCACGUGAAGCGGCCCGCGUGCAGCUCCCCUCCGGGACAUCCAGCCACGCAGCAGCCGCGUCAACAGGCGUUACUCUGAGGGAACGAGGCCUCCUGCCCCCGCGCGCAGCCGCGUGGCCCGCUGCAUGCUUCACGCCCAGUGAAUGGGAUGAAGAUGGGGAAAAAAGGGGGCCGAGGUGUUUGCAUGUGAUGUAGCAUAUUCAUCAAACGAAGGAAGGCUAGUAGGAUGAGUGUAUCACAUACGCUGCCCACGGGCUCCGUUUGCCAGCUCUGACAGGCUGAGGGGGCUGACGGGGGAACACGCACUCUCGCCGUGCUAUUUUAAAUCUGACCCGGUAAUUAAGUGGCAAAGCUUUGAUUAAGCGUGGGCAAGCAGAUCUAAAGCGCUGCAAUUUUACUAUCUUGCACUAUUUUGCCCCCCUUGUGUAAACACAUGAGUGAGCCCGCGGAAGCCGAAACAUGAUGACCCGCAAUGAUUUUCAUAAUAAAUGCACACUUAUAUUUACAUUUCAUGAACCGGGCUGAGAAUUAGCUCACUUGCACGGGAACAUGCUUGUUUAUCUUAAAUGACGUGCAAGUCGAUGAGCAAGUUAUUCUAUGUUCACAUUUAGUAGUUCCAAAAAUGUGCUCAUUUGUUCAUAGGCUAAUUAUGGCUGAUGUCUAAUCUUUUGCCCCCGAGGCAAACACAUCACAUCAGAUUUAUUCAGCAAAGUAAAUAAAUGCAUAUUUUUCAACCAGGUACGAGCCAAGAUCUGAUUCACAUCUGAUCUGCAAUCAUUUCCUUCAUAUUGGAUGCACAUUUCUUACAAAUGUGAGCCAUGGACCUAAAAAGACUGGGUCACAUUUAAUCAGACUGAGCGAAAACAUACGAGUGAAGAAAUGCCACAAAUGUGCCAAAAACCUUUGUGCUCCUCUGGAUCGUGUGGAAAUAGUGAAAGAAGUGGUUGUCACAGCGGUCGGUGUCUCCGGCGGUGGCGGUUGCAGGCGCUGUGCAGGACAAAGGGCCCAACAGAAAAUCCAUGUCUCGCUGCUGGACGGACACAGAAGCAAAGACGUGACAGCCACGCGGCAGCAAGUGAGCGGCCAGGCUGGAAGCAGAAGCGUGCGAGCAGAACACGGUGGAGCUGUUCUAUAAGAGGCUCAGAGCACACAGACGGGACUGCAUUUUACCCUGGAGUCCUGACUGCUUCCUUCCUGUGGACUCUUGUCUUUGUACAGUACCAUCACCACGCGACUCCCGUUAUUCCACGCUUGUGUACUCGGAUAAUUUCAAAUUCUUAUCUCCGUUUUCCUCAUUCAUUUUGACAAAAGCUGGAAGAAACGUUUCAGCUGCCUCCUCCUUAUCAAGGUCACUCUCAAUUAAUUUCAAGCGCUGCGCAAUGCAAAUCAGAUUUGCGAGCCCGUGUGGGCACACGUGUACCCAGCAGUCCUCAAACGGAAUUGGACCGUGAACGCAGCCUUGUUCCCCACUUUAAACGGAGGCUAUAAAUACACCAGCAAACAUGUCAAUUAUGUGUUAAUCCCAUUUAUCUGGCGCGUCCUGAAAUAUCAGCUUCCUCCCACGGCCACCGGCGCUGGCCAAUCACGGCGCGCGAGGCUGCUCUCAGCGCGCGCCGCGCCGCGCCGCGCCGCGGGUCCCCGCGGACGAGGAGCCGCGGCGCGGGAACGCGGGGGCACGAAACGCAAAGUUACGCGCGACGCGUCGAAGUGAUCGCUUCUUUCCCCCCGUUUCAUCUUCUGCAGGCGGCUUCCUGUAAUUACGUUGUCCCGCAGCCCUGGAAGCCUGGGACUCGAGUGCAGUUGUGAAGUGUGGCUGCCCGUGUCACCGUCAGGACCGUGGCAGCAGCCGGAAGCCGAGCGUGGACUGACAGCAGCGGGUCCGAGCGCCGGCCCGGCCCGGCGCAGGUUGGAUGUUGAGGAGCAGGACGUGUGUGGGCCAGACGUCAGCAGCACAGACACAGGCUCUUUCUUGGACGUCUGCCAGGGAGACGGGCACCGGAGCUCGCCGUCGAUCUGCCGGCGACCGAGCGUCGUUAGUGUUGAGAACCGCCGAACAUCUGGCCGGUCCUCUGGGCUCGUACAGAGGCAGAGACGCCCACGUACGGCUCCGGCUCCGGCGCUGUGAUUCCUCGUACGGCGCUGGUGACCUUUGCGUAAUCAGUGGUGUUUUUCGGGGGCUGAACGCGGCUCAUGAGCCCGAGUGACCUUCAGCGCACAGCCUUCAAAGGACAGCGCUGCUUCCCGGCUUUCAUCUUGGGAGUUCAGUGCUCGCUGACACAAGACGCCCCCCCCCCCCCCCCUCCCCCCACAGGCCCAGCCUCCCUGCUGCACCUCACGCAGCCACACAGCUGCUCCGGCGUAAUGGACUUUGUAGCACGGAUGGGCGGAUGCAGCCGUGGAAACGAGCAGGACUAUUUUAAUGGAUAGAAACUAAAGGACACAGACCGUAGCGGCACAUGAUGCAGGAUCACUGCCACAGGUUUCCUUUUUGUGUGAGACGACUGAGCGCGAUUCACAGACAGGAAUAAAAACAACUGGCACUUUACUCUGUCUCAUUGCCACAUUUGCCAUAUUUGCGGGUUGCAGUUUGGGCUGAGUAUUUAAAAUACUUAUGUGUAUCGACCGACUACCAACGCUGGAUACGAAGUCGGAGGUUAAACAAACUUAAAAGAAAGUUGCUUUUGGAAGACACGAACAAAACACUUCAGGGAGUCGACACAGUGAACAUGCAUGUCUGAGCACACAUGUAAAUAAUUCAUCCAUGAGGACAUGGAAGCGAUGUGAUAACAUUCCCUCCAGCUGUUCCUGACAUGAGAAUGGCUCAGAGAGGAAGUCGUGAGAUUUUGAAGUUUUCCAUUUGUCAUAUUCUGUGUAUUUCAUCUUCAUAUAUAUUCCUUUCUGGCUCGCUCUCUUAGAUUUUUUUCUUGGUUUGUAUAUUUUUGUUGUUGCCAUUUAUUAUAAUACCGAGCUUCACAAAACUGUGCUGAGGUUUUUCUUCGCCAUAGCAACUGCCGGAAACAUGUUGCUGGCUUAUCGCUGCAUCCGAACAUGUCGGACAGGGUUCAUGUACUGUCGCUGAGCACAGUUACUAUGACAACCGGCCUCUAAUGUUUGCACUGUCUGACGGCACAAAUUUGAUCUGGUCACUUGUAAGUCAUAAUGAGGACGGUUCGUGGCAGAGCCUCAUUAUAAUCGUCCCCCCUGAACGUUCCCAGGUGUCAGCUAUCGGCAGGAAGGUGAUGAGAGGCGCGCGUGCGGGUCGCACAGCCGCUCCCUCUACAGCAUCUCAUGAGACGGAGCGCUGGCUCGUCCGCGUCUGAUGACAUUUCAAUCUCCGAGCGAUAGAGCGGCGACUGAAGAGAAGCGGUGACGCCUCUUGUGCCUCUUUACGCCUCUGACCUGAGGUGAAGUUCUCAGCAGUCUGGGGAAAGAACCACGCCCCGGACCCACAGGACUUCACGGAGCAUUUUCACUUUGCCAGAAUGAGGAAGGGAAGUGGUGUUUCUGACUGUGAAGGACUGUAGGACCGUCAGCCGCAGGAACAGCUGAUGCUGCACGUCCAGCUGUGCGCCCGGGAAAUAAACAGCAUCUGGACUCGUCCGUGUGCUCUUUGUUUGCUCAAGGAGAGCGGUGCUCGGUAGGACGUUUGUGUGUGUCAGGGGGCAGGCAGCCUAAAUGCCUGCGCUAGAUAAACGAAGGCAGGGUCCCGUCCACACGCUCCGUUUUCUUACAAACACACAACAGUGUGCUGUGAAAUGCGUUACGGACGCUGAGGUUCCUGGUUGGUUUGGGAGCUGGCGCACACAGGAAAAACAGUUCCAACAUAGCAUCAGGGUGAGACGUACUUUAUUUAGUUUUAUCACGAUUUCCUUUGCAAAUAUUGUGCCAUAAUAAUUUUAUAUUGACGACUCUGCAUCCAGUUAACAGGAAAUAGUUUGAAAGUCAAACACACACUAAACAAAUGCAGUCCAUAAAAGACCCUGGUGAUACCUUGGCAUGUGUUUAUAUUCAGCAUGUGUCUAGAGACAACACAACUAGACACAUGCCACAAAUGUCGGGCAGCAGUAGAAAACUAAAAGUAUGAAGUAAUUACAUGUGUGAUUUAGGAUAAGAACUAAACGUACACCAGUGAAUGGAUGGUUGUUGUUCUUUGCUUGCGACUCCCCACACACACACUUGACCACAGGGUGCAGCAGUAAAACAGCAACAGCCGCUCAGUGAAGAGCUCAUCGCCUCUCGAUGGAACGCACGGACAUGUUUGGGUUACAUCACGGAGAGAGAAGGCUGGAGUCAAGUUGAACUGUGUUUAGCAAAGCAGACGCAUUGUGCAUUCUGUGUGAUCUAUAAACGGAGCGGAGAGAAAACCUUUUUCGCUGCAGGACGGAUCUGCGCUGCUUCAGUACUGACUGGUGCCCCGCACUCACCAGGACCGCAAGCCGCCCAUGCUGCCGACGGGUUUGAAAUCCGCCGGGGGAAUGAAAGCCUCUCUCCCUUUUAAUGCAAUUCAGUGCAGUUGCAUCAUUUGCAUAAAGCCAGGAGUGCAGCAGCACAGGCGUGAUUCGUUACCGGCUUCCCACCAUUAGCCAGUCAUGAUGUCCUGAUUAAAUGAGCCUUAUGUGAACAAAACGAUCCACUUAUAGAGUUUGAAGUGUUGUUGAGAAGCCGCAGGAUGAAUUACUGCUGAAUAAUCUAUUAGCGUAACAAAAACUGGCAUUUAUUAAUUAGAAAAACACUUAUAUUGUCACUCUAAAUAAAGGUGCUACAAACCUUGAUCUCUCUCUGCCAAGCGACUGCUCCUGCUUCCACGAACACGGAGCUGAGUGCUGGAGCGCUGAAGAGGAUGAAUCACACGGAUGCAUGAAACAAAGUGACACCUCUCCGUUUGACACCCUCCGCUUUCACACUUUGAUUUGCGAAGAUUUGAAAGUACAACAGAAUCCUCGCGGCUCGCCGGCAGAGACGCGCUGCUCUCUUUCGGGUCCCGCGGAGCCGGACGGGGGGGUG